GGCAGCAGCUCAAAUUUGAAAUCUGGCCGCCCCCGCGGGGGGCCCGAGUUGUAAUUUGCAGAGGACGCUUCCGGCGCGGCGCCUUCCGAGUUCCCUGGAACGGGACGCCACAGAGGGUGAGAGCCCCGUACGGUCGGACGCCCAGCCACUGUGAAGCCCCCUCGACGAGUCGAGUAGUUUGGGAAUGCUGCUCAAAACGGGAGGUAUAUGUCUUCUAAAGCUAAAUACCGGCCAGAGACCGAUAGCGCACAAGUAGAGUGAUCGAAAGAUGAAAAGCACUUUGAAAAGAGGGUCAAACAGUACGUGAAAUUGUUGAAAGGGAAGCGCUCGCGACCAGACUUGGGCCCGGUGGAUCACCCGGCGUUCUCGCCGGCGCACUCCGCCGGGCCCAGGCCAGCAUCGGCUCGCCGCGGGGGACAAAGGCGGCGGGAACGUGGCUCCCCAGGGAGUGUUAUAGCCCGCCGCGCAAUGCCCCGCGGCGGACCGAGGCCCGCGCACCGCAAGGAUGCUGGCGUAAUGGUCACCAGCGACCCGUCUUGAAACACGGACCAAGGAGUCGUCUUCGUAUGCGAGUGUUCGGGUGUCAAACCCCUACGCGGAAUGAAAGUGAACGCAGGUGGGAGCCUCGGCGCACCAUCGACCGAUCCUGAUGUCCUCGGAUGGAUUUGAGUAGGAGCAUACGGGGCCGGACCCGAAAGAAGGUGAACUAUGCCUGUAUAGGGUGAAGCCAGAGGAAACUCUGGUGGAGGCUCGCAGCGGUUCUGACGUGCAAAUCGAUCGUCAAAUA
rnacentral:rRNA from 2 species